rnacentral:rRNA from 1 species
UACAGAGGGUGCGAGCGUUAAUCGGAAUUACUGGGCGUAAAGCGCACGUAGGCGGCUUGUCACGUCGGGUGUGAAAGCUCGGGGCUUAACCCCGGGUCUGCAUUCGAUACGGGCUGGCUGGAGUGUGGUAGGGGAGAUCGGAAUUCCUGGUGUAGCGGUGAAAUGCGCAGAUAUCAGGAGGAACACCGGUGGCGAAGGCGGGUCUCUGGGCCGAUAUUGACGCUGAGGAGCGAAAGCGUGGGGAGCAAACAGG